GCAUUGAUAGCUUACUUUUAGAGCAUAGCACUGAAGAUGCUAAGGUGGCAAAAUUGUCUCAAAGCA
rnacentral:tRNA from 1 species